rnacentral:rRNA from 1 species
UACGGGGGGAGCAAGCGUUGUUCGGAUUUACUGGGCGUAAAGGGCGCGUAGGCGGCCACCGCAAGUCGACUGUGAAAUCUCCGGGCUUAACCCGGAAAGGUCAGCCGAUACUGCGGGGCUAGAGUGCAGAAGGGGCAACUGGAAUUCUCGGUGUAGCGGUGAAAUGCGUAGAUAUCGAGAGGAACACCUGCGGCGAAGGCGACACGCUGGGCCGUACCUGACACUGAUACGCGACAGCAUGGGGAGCGAACGGG